rnacentral:rRNA from 1 species
GAUGAACGCUGGCGGCGUGCCUAAUACAUGCAAGUCGAGCGAACAGACGAGGAGCUUGCUCCUCUGACGUUAGCGGCGGACGGGUGAGUAACACGUGGAUAACCUACCUAUAAGACUGGGAUAACUUCGGGAAACCGGAGCUAAUACCGGAUAAUAUAUUGAACCGCAUGGUUCAAUAGUGAAAGACGGUUUUGCUGUCACUUAUAGAUGGAUCCGCGCCGCGUUAGCUAGUUGGUAAGGUAACGGCUUACCAAGGCGACGAUGCGUAGCCGACCUGAGAGAGUGAUCGGCCACACUGGAGCUGAGACACGGUCCAGACUCCUACGGGAGGCAGCAGUAGGGAAUGUUCCGCAAUGGGCGAAAGCCUGACGGAGCAACGGCGCGUGAGUGAUGAAGGUCUUCGGAUCGUAAAACUCUGUUAUUAGGGAAGAACAAAUGUGUACGUAACUAUGCACGUCUUGACGGUACCUAAUCAGAAAGCCACGGCUAACUACGUG